GGACUACACUUUAUCACGCAGACCCUUGCUCGUAUCUGUGCUAACAGGUAACAUUACAGUAGGGAAGCAAAGAGAGGGCGUCAUUCCUACGUAACUAACUUGCCGUUCCCUACCCUCUCCACGCGACCAAAGCCGCUGCUGCGUCGACCUGGGCCAUAUUGAGUGAGGGGACACCAUUAUGACGCUGUCUACACUUACUACGCAGAUGCUAGCAGAUAUAAGGCAGCUGUCGGAAGCGCAAGACCACACACUCGCUACGAGAGAUUCUCUUUGUGAAAAAACAAUAAUUACAGGUCGAAGAAAAGGCUCACAUUAUGAACGAGAAGUGUAACUGUCAGGCCAGCGGCCACUGCACUUGUGGGGACAAGUGUGACUGCAGCAAAAAGGGUUCACCAGGAGCCAAGCGCUUCAGCUGCAAAUGUGGUGACAACUGUCUGUGCGGUAAUGAUUGCCAAUGCGACAAGUAGACACGUACUUGAUCAACGCUUACCCUUUUUAAUGGAACGAUAUAAUUAUGCUGGAGAAUCACCUUGCCGAGCAUGAACAUUGCAAGGCGGGACGUGCGACAAUGGGGCACAUUGGCUAUCGAUAUGUUGUUAUUAUUAUUAUGAUUUGAUCACGGAACUUAUUAAUUGAUAACAUUACCAGCCUACUAUUCUGGUUGGUGGGCAUCGGGGGUAUGCCAGUGUGUAUCUGAAACACGGUUGAAUAAAAUUAUAUCGAAAUGCGUAUAUAAACACAUAUACAUAUUCGGACGUGUGCUUAUUUGGCUUUUGCUGAGAUAAACCGUUUAGGGGAUGUCAAGUACAUGAUUCUACAUUGCUCCAGCACCGUAAAAAGCGUCCAUCAAAAGAGGUUUUUUAAAACUGUACUUUACGAGUAUGUUAGUUUCGGAUUUUUACUAUGAUCACAGUAGCCUUUAAUUUGACCACUUCCUCUAUCUCUUAUCCAGGACUAGGGCGUAUUUAGACCUCGUGUAUAUAGUACUUGAUAAAAUAUACGGUAACUUUUUCGCCUAAAGCGAGUAUAUAUCUUUAUCUAGUAAAUAUAUGUUUUGUGCAGGCACGAGAAUGGUAUUGAGUCAAAUAAAAAUCCCAGAUUUCCCAGAAGCAAAGCAUGCAAUCCUACCAUGCAGGACAUCAAUAGACGCUAGAAAAAUCCAGUGCAUUAAGUACGCUUUUGUCUUUACUUUUUCUUAUGCUUCCAGCAAAAACAGCUGCUUUUAAAGUUCAAUUCAUUUUGUUGAUUAUUUACUAAUAUCAUACUGCUUGUUUCCGCCAAGGCCACCUUUUAGCCAAAUCUUAAUUGGAAAUAUACUUGUCAGUGUAACAGUUACCCAUUUUCCCACAUACAGAAAUAACUGAAUUUAGACGCAAAUGUUAUAGAAACUGAUACAUUUAGAAAAUUAACGAUCUUGAUUGGAUGAACCGUUUGACGCCUCGGCAAGCCGGGAUAUACGAAAUGUAUAACCUAUAUGUAUUCCCUAUAUCUAUUAAUCAAACUCAAAUCAUGUUGCGUUAUUCUCUCAAUAGAAAUAAAGGUCUGCAUUUGAAUAGAUAUUCAAAUGAGGCGGAGAAAGCAAUAACCAAAUGCAACGGAGGCGAUCUGUGGUUCGCCUUAUUACGACGAAUAGAGUUCAAAUCAAAGUCCUAAUUUAGCAAUCGGUGAUGACACAGUUAUUUAUUUAAUUCGCUUGCUCUAUUUAGACAUAUUGGCCAUUUUGGCCAGUAAGCAGAGUCAUCGAUGUUCGAAAGUAGGGUCAUUAUCACUACGGGUAUGAAAUCUGCAUUAUGAUGAUUUAUCUUCGGUAGAAGAGAUGGUUUAUUUAAGCGGCGGCAGGUAUUGCAAAGAAACACGUUCCAAAAAUCAAUUUCAUUCAGGUACUAUCGUAAACAGCAUUAGCAAUAAACUGAACACAUUAUUGACUUAAGGGUGAGGUAGAUCAAAGUUCUAAAAUAACCAAUAAUUUCUCUUUAAAACAAUCACCACCACACUCCAAGGGUUGAGACCACUUCAAAAAUGUUCGCCCUCUGAAAAUCUCUGUUAUAAAAACACACACUUCGCUUUAAUGUUAGUUAUUAAUAUCGUAACCCUUGGGACACAAUGUGGCUAAUUGGUAGUCUUGUGUAUUCGUUUUGAUUAUCAACAUAAACAUGACGGGGCAAAAUUACGACAGUGUUUUAGAGCUAAAAUACAAUCGCAAUGAAGGCUUAACCAUUACAUUGAGAUGACUUUCACACCAUUUCAAUAAAACCUCCCUCUGCGUACCCGUGCACUGUCAUUGUUUUUCUAUAAGAAUACGUACAAAAAUAAGUGUAGAGAAGCACGCUUGUGACAAGGUUGCGAAAAGGAGUUGUUGUGGGUCCGCUCGACCUCUUUAUGCUAAAGCUCACUUUUGCCAUGUUGAAACAACUAAUUCGGAUAGUAGUAUCUGAAAUGAUUUAAUGAGCCAGUAUGUAGUAGCUCAACCAGGCCUUACCUUUAUCACAGCAAUCAAACGAGCUAAUAUAUUUCCAAUAUCAAGAACGUGCUUGCUUGCCCAUCCAAAUAGAUGACUGCAUUAAGCCAAAAACUGCAAACCAUUUAACAAGCAAAUUAAUAAAUCACGAACUAAUACUCAAGUAUUUUAUCAAUAAUGGCUUUUUAGCGCCAAGCAGCAUCCCAUCUCAGUCUUACUUGGGUAUGAUUGAACCCGCCGCUCAUAAGGGUGCCUUAUACUUAUGAAUUGUAUCCGCUUGUGGAAGCCCACUAGUAACGAACAGAUCAGACAGCCGAGAUGCAUCAAAGGCUACGUACUAAUAAUAAUGGAAAAAUUCCGUGAAAAUAUGCUGCAGAUUUCAUUUUUGUAUAAACAUUUUCCAACAAUGGCACCUGGUAUACUGAAACGGAAUAGCCGAGAUUUUGCUUUGCAAACGUUACAGCCAGACUGUCGUGGUGAAUUAGGCACAGUUUGUCUGGCUUAAAGGGCUUAGAAUCACGACAAGUAUUUCCGCGAUCAACAGCGGUCCGUCGAUAAACUUAGACACAACGAGACCAUGAAAUUUUUGGAGAGUCAUUGGCUGCGGGUGCAAAACUCUAAAAGCGGUAGACAGCCUGCCGCACUCAUAAUUACUGUAAUAUUUGAAAUCUCCGUGCAGUAUAGUACGUACGGGAAUGAAACGGCACAUGUAAUCAAUAAAUUUGAAUGCAAUAAUACUACUACUACUGCUACGGAAAUUAAUAGUACAUUUUUCUACAGGUGUUCCAUAACAGUCAAGCUCAGCCAACAACGGCUGGAUGAGAAUAAGCAUCUUCUAAGUGGAGAAGGAACGGCGUGACAAGCAUUUAUCAAUAUGAAAACAAAUUUUUUGGCCUACACUGCACCGAAUCGCAUUGCGUUCGAGAUACCAUGUGGGAGAAUUCUUCACCUCAGUAAAAUCUCAGUUCAACGACGAAGAGAGCAAAACAACGCUGUUAGCGUAUAUGUACACGCAGUUUGAGCCCGCAUUCUGUGUGAAAGAAGGGUCCUGAAUGUUUCCGCAAACCAGCGUCAGCAUCUGGAGGGUUCGUUCUUCUGAAAAAGAAUUAACUAAAAGAAAUGGCUAAAAACUUUAAAUUUUUCUGAAAAUACAGACCAUGGUUUAUAUUGAACGAUGUUCCUACUAACUUUCCUAACUGUUUUUACUAAGGUUCCUAAAAACCUAUAGUUCUUCGUAUUUAAUGAUUUCGAAAAUUCACUGCCUCUUUCGGUUUACUGUGUGUAUGGAAAAGCAAAAUGCAAUUUAAAGUAAGCUUGUCUAUCAUACCACUCACAUUUGAGCACCCAGUGCCUAUGAAGUUAAUUUAUGCAGCUACUCGUAAAAUAAGGCUAAGCCUCCUAGUAUAUCACCUAUCACCUAGCUACCUAGUAUAUAUAUAUAUAUAUAUAUAUAUAUAUAUAUAUAUAUAUAUAUAUAUAUAUAUAUAGACAAAAGUUGUUCCAUAUUAACAAUAAUCUAUACGAAAAUAUCACUUUUAUUUUGUACAGUAAGCGGCAAUACAGGUAUUCAGCUGAUAUUGGCUACAUGGCACGCCUCGUGAUAAAUGUAGACAUUGCUUUCUGUGUUAUCAGCAAAUUACGCUAUAUUAUUAAAUUCAUGCGUACUAAUAUAUUAAAGCCCGGCGGAUCCGCAUAAAGGAGAACGCAGACAUUAUUGUUAGCAGUGUUUCUUCAAGGAAAAUGCUUGGCUUAACCUACCAUUAUUACUGAACGAUCCUACUGAAAUAUCAAGUAACAGACAACGAAAUCCCAGAUAAUCGAACGACUGAAGUUGAGCAAAAAUGCAGAAGGAAGCUCGCUCAAUCGGCACGCAAGCAUUCACUGCAUCAACUGAUUUAUAUUAGAAAUCAGCGGCUCGAUAAAAUUAUUUAAACACGACGUUCUGCUUUAAGGUAAAACUGGAGCAGAAAAUCGCCGAAGUUUAUAAAUAGGCUCUGAUUACUUUUUAUAACUAUUUUCUAUUGCUUCCUGAUAACUUUUAUAGCCAUUUGUUGCAAAGUGUCCUCGACAGUUUCAACGUAAAAGGCUCCUGAUGCUGGUGUGAUAAAAUAUGAUGAUCCGUAUUCAAUUUUUUUUUGUAUUGGUAGACCCCCAUGUGUGAGUUUAAGUAAAAUAAGUAAAUUAUAUUGUUCCCAUCAUAGCGAUUAUAGCGUGUAAAUACUUGACUGCCGUUUGUCCCUUGUCAUGUUACCAUUUAUCUUUUAUAAACAAUUUUGUCUUUGUUUCAGCCAAAGAUGAGGUCUUGGCUACCCCCGAGUAAGUCGCGGGAACUUACUUUGUCUAACAUGUCGUUGAUUCCACGCCACGCCAUUUGCUGGCCUUCUAAGUCGAAAUUCCAUUAAACGUAACCGAAGAGCUUUUAAAUUAUGAGCGUUACUUGAAGGCAAAGUUUAGCAAUAUUAGUUAAAUCAUUGGGCAGAGCCGAGCAAGACCAAACAUCAUAGCGAUCUCAGCUAUAUCGGCCAACAGCGACCUUGUGUCAUAGGAACCGUAGAUAUCUCAAACAGAAUUCACUAACGUACUAUCGACUCGAGUAGCAGACAUAGUAUUACUCGCAAGCUGCACUUUGUUGGACUGAAAGGGAUAUUAGCCAACAAAAAAAUCACUAAAUCAGUACUUUAUGUCCAGCCUAGAGCUUCGACAAACGACAAAAUCGGCUAAUCUUUGUCGCAUCUGGAUUGAAUAAACAAUCGUUUUUGCUUCCGAUUGUAGUCCUUUUUUUGGUUCUUUCAGAUGUAUAAAGUAGAUGCCUGGCAUUUUAGACCAUCUACCUAAUUUUCGCGCAUAAUUGAUGGAUCUAGAAAUUUGACCAUGCAUAUUUAUAUAUACAUGGAAACGGAAAGUGUAUGUCAGUUUCUGCAGCAACUAGCAAUAGAUAAAAAGUGGAAUUUUACUAUUCAUUCAAAUUAUUAGGAAUGGCUUGAACCAGUCAAAACUAUUCAUAAAGUAUAAUCCUCAGCAAUCUGGCCACAAGUAGUUCAUACCUAUGAUCAACGAGGAGAUCACAAAGGUGAACACGUUGAAAUCUUUAGUAAUUGCGAUUUACUCCUUAUAAUAACGGGGGUAUUUAUCGAUAAUUUCACAUUGACAUAUCGAAACGGACAAUCUUAUAAUAUUCAUUAAAAAAAGUAAUAUUUUAAGAGAAAAUAAAGUUCUCUAUAGAUCAGCUUGAUAUUCCCCCUGAUUCUAUGGUAGUCUAUGGUAACCUAAAGGUUAAAAAAGACAUGCUAUCGAAAAAUAUCAAAUGCAUCGGUACCGCAUUAGCUUAUGUUUAGAGCAGUUUAGGUAGCUUUUUAAUGAAACUAAUAGAUUAGUCUUUUCUCGUGACCGUUACUGAAAAAAAACUCAGGUUCAAUGGAAAAAUACUAACUUCAUAAAUUUAGAGUUACAAGACAGCAAAAUAACAGGUUUUAAUUUUGGUCUUUUGUAUUUUUCAUGCAGCAGACGAUGCUGUGUUAAACGACUGAAGUAGCUUGAGUAAUCUGGUACAUUUUUUGAAUAGUGCACUACCCUACUUGUAAAGAGUACGAUGGCGUUCUCAAACGCAAAUAACUAGUGGUCGUAGCAAAUAAAAAAAAAACUAUUGAUAGUUGUAUACGGAUUGCUUCCAAAAGUUUAAAGAUAAUAAUACGUAGACGGUAGUGUCUAACUGGAGUGUCUUCUAGAUAGCCUAAGAAAAAAUCAUCAGAGAUUUUUCAGUGGUUCUUCAUUUUGUUUUGUAUCAUCCAAUUUGGCGGGAUCGUAGAUUGCUACAAAACUAAAAAAGGAAUGGGACGUUGCAGGUUGUACAAUAAAUAUGAUUGCAACUAUUUCUCCAACCCAACUUUCAACAUAGUCUUUCACUCAAAUAUGAAACCCCUAAGUAUUUAUCAUUUUCAACAUAAUAAUCGAGAGUAGGCUGUCAUUUAACUCUGAUUGUUUUCCCGCCGAACAAUUCAAAUUUUUCUACUCCGGGAACAGUAUCGGGCAACCCAUGUGCACCAUACGAGUCGUUGGGUUUUAACAACAACUAACGAUGAGCAAGCUCAUUAGAAAUCAGCUGACUCACAGAAGUAUCAGGAAGAGUACAGAUUGUUCACAUUCGGUUCAAAUAUAAGCCCGCCCUUAUCACAGUGACGAAUAAUUCGUUUGUGCGUGUGCGGUACCUUGAUUGUUUCGCGAUUUGCAGUUCAGAAGUCAAGCACAUUAAAAUGGAGUUUCCACAUCUGGGCGACCAUUGCUCGGAGUCUUCGUGCAACAUACUCGCCUCGAUCACUUCGC